rnacentral:rRNA from 1 species
GACGAACCGUGCGAACGUUAUUCGGAAUCACUGGGCUUAAAGCGCGUGUAGGCGGGCCGGCACGUCGGUCGCUGAAAGCCCCCGGCUCAACCGGGGAAGCGGCGCCGAUACGACCGGCCUGGAGGGGGGUAGGGGGCGCCGGAACUGCCGGUGGAGCGGUGAAAUGCGUUGAGAUCGGCAGGAACGCCCGUGGCGAAAGCGGGCGCCUGGACCCCGCCUGACGCUGAGACGCGAAAGCCAGGGGAGCGAACGGG